ACCAAAAUACCUUACCCAGUCUUUGAAUGUGUCCCUAAGACUGAAAUCUUUACUUUAUAGCUUAUGUAUCCCUAUGAUGAUAAAAUAGUAAAGAGGUCAUCCUGCAUGCCAUCGUCUCUUAAUACUUUAGAAGACAGAGGUCAGAAGUAGUCCUAAAAGAACAGCAGGACGUGAUGGUGACUAUUUGGUUUUUGCUUGCUUAGCCAACAGAGCUUAUCCAGGUCUGUGGCUACCCCCUCUCAGUGGAGAACACCAGCUGACUGCCCAUCCUGGGCCUGCUUCUGCUCAGAUUGGAGAAGGAGAGAAGAAAAAAAUUAUUGAAAAAGACAGAGUUUGGGAUAAAAGAGUACACGAGAGUGUUUCUAUCAGAUGUUCCCUAAAGCCCCGUGUGAGCAGAAGGAGGAUCUUGGGAAGGUGGUUGGAUUAUAUGGCGUUGUAACUGACUUACUGUUGGAAGGUGGAGCCUGGUCACAAGAGGUCACUGUGGGGAAGGAGAUGACAAUGGCUUGGAGACCACUCAUUGCAUCUUCCAACAGCUUCAGGCAAAUGAUGCCCAGUCAUGACACGUGGUCUAAAAGCCAGCUACUCCUCUACAUGAUGGAACACUUCACAGCUGCUCAAGAUUGUAGCUUGGGAAAAUUAUUGAACCACCUGGGAAGUGGUUUGUGAUAAGUUAAGUGGAAAGAAGUGAUUAUAAGACAAUAUGUAUAUUAUAAUCCAAAUAGAUAGAUGGUAGAUAGGAUAGAGAUAGAUAGAAAGAGAGAGAGAGAGAGGAUUGAAGAUCAGUCUGAGGGCUGAGGAGUCCUUCAAGAUACUACAAAGCUUUUCAAAACACCCAAUUUUACCCUGAGGAAUUGUGUUGCUUUUUUACCCAACAUCAUCUUACCAUUAUUCAAAACACACACACACACACACACACACACACACACAC